AUUGAACGCUGGCGGCAGGCCUAACACAUGCAAGUCGAGCGGAUGAAGGGAGCUUGCUCCUGGAUUCAGCGGCGGACGGGUGAGUAAUGCCUAGGAAUCUGCCUGGUAGUGGGGGAUAACGUCGGGAAACGGGCGCUAAUACCGCAUACUUCCUGAGGGAGAAAGUGGGGGAGCUUCGGACCUCACGCUAUCAGAUGAGCCUAGGUCGGAUUAGCUAGUUGGUGGGGUAAAGGCCUACCAAGGCGACGAUCCGUAACUGGUCUGAGAGGAUGAUCAGUCACACUGGAACUGAGACACGGUCCAGACUCCUACGGGAGGCAGCAGUGGGGAAUAUUGGACAAUGGGCGAAAGCCUGAUCCAGCCAUGCCGCGUGUGUGAAGAAGGUCUUCGGAUUGUAAAGCACUUUAAGUUGGGAGGAAGGGCAGUAAGUUAAUACCUUGCUGUUUUGACGUUACCAACAGAAUAAGCACCGGCUAACUUCGUG
rnacentral:rRNA from 1 species